AGCUCUCCGAGUGGUGUGGAUGUUUAUUGGGCCUAAAGCAUCCGUAGCUGGCUGAGUUAGUCCCCUGUUAAAUCCACCGAAUCAAUCGUUGGAUUGCGGGGGAUACUGCUCGGCUAGGGGACGGGAGAGGCAGACGGUAUUUCCGGGGUAGGGGUGAAAUCCUAUAAUCCCGGGAAGACCACCAGUGGCGAAGGCUGUCUGCUAGAACGCGCCCGACGGUGAGGGAUGAAAGCUGGGGUAGCGAACC
rnacentral:rRNA from 1 species